rnacentral:rRNA from 1 species
GGCUCAGGAUGAACGCUGGCGGCGUGCUUAACACAUGCAAGUCGAACGAAGCACCUCUAAUCGAAGAUUGAGAAAGCUUGCUUUGAUUGAUUCACCUUGAGGUGACUGAGUGGCGGACGGGUGAGUAACGCGUGGGUAACCUACCCUAUACAGGGGGAUAACAGUUGGAAACGACUGCUAAUACCGCAUAAGCGCACAGGACCGCAUGGUCUAGUGUGAAAAACUCCGGUGGUAUAGGAUGGACCCGCGUCUGAUUAGCUAGUUGGUGAGGUAACGGCUCACCAAGGCGACGAUCAGUAGCCGACCUGAGAGGGUGACCGGCCACAUUGGGACUGAGACACGGCCCAAACUCCUACGGGAGGCAGCAGUGGGGAAUAUUGCACAAUGGGCGAAAGCCUGAAUGCAGCGACGCCGCGUGAACGAAGAAGUAUUUCGGUAUGUAAAGUUCUAUCAGCAGGGAAGAAAAAUGACGGUACCUGACUAAGAAGCUCCGGCUAAAUACGUGCCAGCCGCGGC